ensembl:lncRNA
AUGAACAUAAAGAGAACGACAGACCCUCCCCUCCAAUCAUCCAGGAGAACAGACCCUCCCCUCCAAUCAUCCAGGAGAACAGACGCUCCCCCUCCAAUCAUCCAGGAGAACAGACGCUCCCCCUCCAAUCAUCCAGGAGAACAGACGCUCCCCCUCCAAUCAUCCAGGAGAACAGACGCUCCCCCUCCAAUCAUCCAGGGGAACAGACGCUCCCCUCCAAUCAUCCAGGAGAACGACAGACGCUCCCCUCCAAUCAUCCAGGAGAACAGAGGCUCCCCUCCAAUCGUCCGGGAGAACGACAGACGCUCCCCUCCAAUCGUCCAGGAGAACGACAGACCCUCCCCCUCCAAUCAUCCAGGAGAACAGACGCUCCCCUCCAAUCAUCCAGGAGAACGACAGACGCUCCCCUCCAAUCAUCCAGGAGAACAGACCCUCCCCUCCAAUCAUCCAGGAGAACAGACCCUCCCCCUCCAAUCAUCCAGGAGAACAGACGCUCCCCUCCAAUCAUCCAGGAGAACAGACCCUCCCCUCCAAUCAUCCAGGAGAAUAGACCCUCCCCUCCAAUCAUCCAGGAGAACAGACGCUCCCCUCCAAUCAUCCAGGAGAACAGACGCUCCCCUCCAAUCAUCCAGGAGAACAGACCCUCCCCUCCAAUCAUCCAGGAGAACAGACGCUCCCCCUCCAAUCAUCCAGGAGAACGACAGACCCUCCCCUCCAAUCAUCCAGGAGAACGACAGACCCACCCCCUCCAAUCAUCCAGGAGAACAGACGCUCCCCCUCCAAUCAUCCAGGAGAACGACAGACCCUCCCCUCCAAUCAUCCAGGAGAACGACAGACCCACCCCCUCCAAUCAUCCAGGAGAACGACAGACCCUCCCCUCCAAUCAUCCAGGAGAAUGACAGACCCUCCCCUCCAAUCAUCCAGGAGAACAGACGCUCCCCUCCAAUCAUCCAGGAGAACGACAGACCCUCCCCUCCAAUCAUCCAGGAGAACAGACGCUCCCCUCCAAUCAUCCAGGAGAACAGACCCUCCCCCUCCAAUCAUCCAGGAGAACAGACGCUCCCCUCCAAUCAUCCAGGAGAACGACAGACGCUCCCCUCCAAUCAUCCAGGAGAACAGACCCUCCCCCUCCAAUCAUCCAGGAGAACAGACCCUCCCCUCCAAUCAUCCAGGAGAACAGACGCUCCCCCUCCAAUCAUCCAGGAGAACAGACCCUCCCCUCCAAUCAUCCAGGAGAACAGACGCUCCCCCUCCAAUCAUCCAGGAGAACAGACGCUCCCCCUCCAAUCAUCCAGGAGAACAGACGCUCCCCCUCCAAUCAUCCAGGAGAACAGACGCUCCCCCUCCAAUCAUCCAGGAGAACAGACGCUCCCCCUCCAAUCAUCCAGGAGAAAAGACGCUCCCCCUCCAAUCAUCCAGGAGAACGGACGCUCCCCCUCCAAUCAUCCAGGAGAACAGACGCUCCCCUCCAAUCAUCCAGGAGAACGACAGACGCUCCCCUCCAAUCAUCCGGGAGAAGACGCUCCCCCUCCAAUCAUCCAGGAGAACAGAGGCUCCCCUCCAAUCGUCCGGGAGAACGACAGACGCUCCCCUCCAAUCGUCCAGGAGAACGACAGACCCUCCCCCUCCAAUCAUCCAGGAGAACAGACGCUCCCCUCUAAUCAUCCAGGAGAACGACAGACGCUCCCCUCCAAUCAUCCAGGAGAACAGACCCUCCCCUCCAAUCAUCCAGGAGAACAGACCCUCCCCCUCCAAUCAUCCAGGAGAACAGACGCUCCCCUCCAAUCAUCCAGGAGAACAGACCCUCCCCUCCAAUCAUCCAGGAGAACAGACGCUCCCCUCCAAUCAUCCAGGAGAACAGACGCUCCCCUCCAAUCAUCCAGGAGAACAGACCCUCCCCUCCAAUCAUCCAGGAGAACAGACGCUCCCCCUCCAAUCAUCCAGGAGAACGACAUACCCUCCCCUCCAAUCAUCCAGGAGAACGACAGACCCACCCCCUCCAAUCAUCCAGGAGAACAGACGCUCCCCCUCCAAUCAUCCAGGAGAACGACAGACCCUCCCCUCCAAUCAUCCAGGAGAACAACAGACCCACCCCCUCCAAUCAUCCAGGAGAACGACAGACCCUCCCCUCCAAUCAUCCAGGAGAAUGACAGACCAUCCCCUCCAAACAUCCAGGAGAACAGACGCUCCCCUCCAAUCAUCCAGGAGAACGACAGACCCUCCCCUCCAAUCAUCCAGGAGAACAGACGCUCCCCUCCAAUCAUCCAGGAGAACAGACCCUCCCCCUCCAAUCAUCCAGGAGAACAGACCCUCCCCUCCAAUCAUCCAGGAGAACGACAGACGCUCCCCUCCAAUCAUCCAGGAGAACGACAGACGCUCCCCUCCAGUCAUCCAGGAGAACGACAGACGCUCCCCUCCAAUCAUCCAGGAGAACGACAGACGCUCCCCUCCAAUCAUCCAGGAGAACAGACGCUCCCUCUCCAAUCAUCCAGGAGAACGACAGACGCUCCCCUCCAAUCAUCCAGGAGAACGACAGACGCUCCCCCUCCAAUCAUCCAGGAGAACAGACGCUCCCUCUCCAAUCAUCCAGGAGAACGACAGACGCUCCCCUCCAAUCAUCCAGGAGAACGACAGACGCUCCCCCUCCAAUCAUCCAGGAGAAUGACAGACCCUCCCCUUCCAAUCAUCCAGGAGAACAGACGCUCCCCUCCAAUCAUCCAGGAGAACAGACGCUCCCCUCCAAUCAUCCAGGAAAAGCAGACAAGUAGAAGAAGUUUGAUUGAAUCGUUUUUAUUAUGCUAG